UACGUAGGGUGCGAGCGUUGUCCGGAAUUACUGGGCGUAAAGAGCUCGUAGGUGGUUUGUCGCGUUGUUCGUGAAAAACUCACAGCUCAACUGUGGGCGUGCGGUCGAUACGGGCAUCACUGGAGUUCGGCAGGGGAGACUGGAAUUCCCGGUGUAGCGGUGAAAUGCGCAGAUAUCGGGAGGAACACCGAUGGCGAAGGCAGCUCACUGGGACGGUACUGACGCUGAGGCGCGAAAGCGUGGGGAGCAAACAGG
rnacentral:rRNA from 1 species